rnacentral:rRNA from 1 species
UGGGCGUAAAGUGUGUUCCGGCUGUUUAAAAAGAUUUAUAUUAAAUAUUUAAGUUCAACUUAAAUGACGUAUAAAUUACUAUUAGACUUGAGUUUAAUAUAAGAAAAUAGAAUUUUGUGUGUAGCGGUGAAAUGUGCAGAUAUACAAAGGAAUACCGAAGGCGAAAGCAUUUUUCUUGAUUAUAACUGACGCUUAUACACGAAAGCGUGGGUAGCAAACAGGAUUAGAUACCCUGGUAGUCCACGCCCUAAACUAUGUCGAUUAGCUGUUUUUUAGUAGCGAAGCUAACGCGUUAAAUCGACCGCCUGGGGACUACGAUCGCAAGAUUAAAACUCAAAGGAAUUGACGGGGACCAGCACAAGCGGUGGAUGAUGUGGAUUAAUUCGAUGAUACACGAAAAACCUUACCUACUCUUGACAUGGUUAGAAUUUUAUUGAAAAAUAAAAGCGCUUGAAAAAGAACUAACGCACAGGUGCUGCAUGGCUGUUGUCAGCUCGUGUCGUGAGAUGUUGGGUUAAGUCCCGCAACGAGCGCAACCCCCACUCUUAGUUGCUAGGUAUUAAAGUACUUUAAGAGAACUGCCGACGAUAAGUCUUGGAGGAAGGAGGGGAAGACUUCAAGUCCUCAUGGCCCUUAUGAGUAGGGCUUCACACGUCAUACAAUGGUUGAUACAAUAAGUUGCUAAAUUGCGAAAUGGAGCUAAUCUCAAAAAUCAAUCUUAGUUCGGAUUGUACUCUGCAACUCGAGUGCAUGAAGUUGGAAUCGCUAGUAAUCGCAGAUCAGCAUGCUGCGG